rnacentral:rRNA from 1 species
UAAGGAAUAUUGGUCAAUGGACGCAAGUCUGAACCAGCCAUGCCGCGUGAAGGAUGAAGGUCCUCUGGAUUGUAAACUUCUUUUAUCUGGGACGAAAACGGGAUUUUUAUCUCAAUUGACGGUACCAGAGGAAUAAGCACCGGCUAACUCCGUGCCAGCAGCCGCGGUAAUACGGAGGGUGCGAGCGUUAUCCGGAUUUACUGGGUUUAAAGGGUGCGUAGGUGGGCUUAUAAGUCAGUGGUGAAAUCUCCGAGCUUAACUUGGAAACUGCCGUUGAUACUAUAGGUCUUGAAUUAUCUGGAGGUAAGCGGAAUAUGUCAUGUAGCGGUGAAAUGCUUAGAUAUGACAUAGAACACCAAUUGCGAAGGCAGCUUACUACAUAUAAAUUGACGCUGAGGCACGAAAGCGUGGGGAUC